rnacentral:rRNA from 1 species
GAUGAACGCUGACAGAAUGCUUAACACAUGCAAGUCAACUUGAAUUUGGGUUUUUAACUUAGGUUUGGGUGGCGGACGGGUGAGUAACGCGUAAAGAACUUGCCUCACAGCUAGGGACAACAUUUGGAAACGAAUGCUAAUACCUAAUAUUAUGAUAAUAGGGCAUCCUAUAAUUAUGAAAGCUAUAAGCGCUGUGAGAGAGCUUUGCGUCCCAUUAGCUAGUUGGAGAGGUAACGGCUCACCAAGGCGAUGAUGGGUAGCCGGCCUGAGAGGGUGAUCGGCCACAAGGGGACUGAGACACGGCCCUUACUCCUACGGGAGGCAGCAGUGGGGAAUAUUGGACAAUGGACCGAGAGUCUGAUCCAGCAAUUCUGUGUGCACGAUGAAGUUUUUCGGAAUGUAAAGUGCUUUCAGUUGGGAAGAAAAAAAUGACGGUACCAACAGAAGAAGUGACGGCUAAAUACGUGCCAGCAGCCGCGGUAAUACGUAUGUCACGAGCGUUAUCCGGAUUUAUUGGGCGUAAAGCGCGUCUAGGUGGUUAUAUAAGUCUGAUGUGAAAAUGCAGGGCUCAACUCUGUAUUGCGUUGGAAACUGUAUAACUAGAGUACUGGAGAGGUAAGCGGAACUACAAGUGUAGAGGUGAAAUUCGUAGAUAUUUGUAGGAAUGCCGAUGGGGAAGCCACUUACUGUACAUAUACUGACGCUGAAGCGCGAAAGCGUGGGGUAGCAAACAUGAUUAUAUACCCUGGUUGUCCAAGGGCUAAUUCCACAGUAGGAUAUCAAGCCUAUCAGAUUACCGUCUACUCUAGGGGGGGGACAGAUACCCAGCUUUUGUUCCCUUUUAUUGUAGUGUUAAUUACGGCCGUUCGGCCUCCCAAG